UACGAAGGGGACUAGCGUUGUUCGGAUUUACUGGGCGUAAAAGCGCGCGUAGGCGGAUCGCUAAGUCAGGGGUGAAAUCCCAGGACUCAACCCUGGAACUGCCUUUGAUACUGACGAUCUGGAGAUCGGGAGAGGUUGGUGGAAUUCCGAGUGUAGAGGUGAAAUUCGUAGAUAUUCGGAGGAACACCAGAAGCGAAGGCGGCCAACUGGCCCGAUACUGACGCUGAGGCGCGAAAGCGUGGGGGAGCAAACAGG
rnacentral:rRNA from 1 species